rnacentral:rRNA from 1 species
AACGAACGCUGGCGGCAUGCCUAACACAUGCAAGUCGAACGAGACCUUCGGGUAUUUUUGCGCACUGGUUCGUAAGGCGUGGGGACCUUCCCUUAGGUUCGGAAUACCUCCCCGCAAGGGGUACUAAUACGGGAUGAUUGCUACUAACCCAUGAUUUAUCGGCUAGGGAUGGGCGCGCGUGAGAUUAGCUAUUUGGUAGCGUAAAAGUCAACCAAGGCUAAGUUCCCUAGCUGGUAUGGGAGGAUGACCAAACACACUGGGACUGUGACCCGGCGGAGACUCUUAGGGGAGGCAGAAGUGGGGAAUAAUGGACGAUGGGCGAGAGACUGAGGUAGUAAGGCCGCGUGAGUGAUGAAGGAGUGAGGGUCGUAAAGCUCUUUGAAACGGGAUGAAAGUGACAGUACCGGGAGAAAAAGCGACGGCUAACUACGUG